AUGAACGCUAGCGGCAGGCUUAACACAUGCCAGUCGAGGGGUAUUUAUCUUCGGAUAGAGAGACCGGCGCACGGGUGCGUAACGCGUAUGCAAUCUACCUUUUACAGAGGGAUAGCCCAGAGAAAUUUGGAUUAAUACCUCAUAGUAUAUAGACUCGGCAUCGAGAUUAUAUUAAAGUCACAACGGUAAAAGAUGAGCAUGCGUCCCAUUAGCUAGUUGGUAAGGUAACGGCUUACCAAGGCUACGAUGGGUAGGGGUCCUGAGAGGGAGAUCCCCCACACUGGUACUGAGACACGGACCAGACUCCUACGGGAGGCAGCAGUGAGGAAUAUUGGACAAUGGGCGCAAGCCUGAUCCAGCCAUGCCGCGUGCAGGAUGACGGUCCUAUGGAUUGUAAACUGCUUUUAUACGAGAAGAAACACUGCUACGUGUAGCAGCUUGACGGUAUCGUAAGAAUAAGGAUCGGCUAACUCCGUG
rnacentral:rRNA from 1 species